rnacentral:rRNA from 1 species
ACAGCAGUAGCCGCGGGAAUACAAAGGGUGCAAGCGUUAAUCGGAAUUACUGGGCGUAAAGCGUGCGUAGGCGGUUUGUUAAGUCUGUUGUGAAAUCCCCGGGCUCAACCUGGGAAUGGCAAUGGAUACUGGCAAGCUAGAGUGUGUCAGAGGAUGGUGGAAUUCCCGGUGUAGCGGUGAAAUGCGUAGAGAUCGGGAGGAACAUCAGUGGCGAAGGCGGCCAUCUGGGACAACACUGACGCUGAGGCACGAAAGUGUGGGGAGCAAACAGGAUUAGAUACCCCGGUAGUCCCUGUCUCUUAUAA